rnacentral:rRNA from 1 species
UUGGUGGGGUAACGGCCUACCAAGGCGACGACGGGUAGCCGGCCUGAGAGGGCGACCGGCCACACUGGGACUGAGACACGGCCCAGACUCCUACGGGAGGCAGCAGUGGGGAAUAUUGCGCAAUGGGCGAAAGCCUGACGCAGCGACGCCGCGUGGGGGAUGAAGGCCUUCGGGUUGUAAACCCCUUUCAGCAGGGACGAAGCGAGAGUGACGGUACCUGCAGAAGAAGCGCCGGCUAACUACGUGCCAGCAGCCGCGGUAACACGUAGGGCGCAAGCGUUGUCCGGAAUUAUUGGGCGUAAAGAGCUCGUAGGCGGUCUGUUGCGUCCGCUGUGAAAACUCGGGGCUUAACCCCGAGCCUGCAGUGGAUACGGGCAGACUAGAGGUAGGUAGGGGAGAAUGGAAUUCCCGGUGUAGCGGUGAAAUGCGCAGAUAUCGGGAGGAACACCGGUGGCGAAGGCGGUUCUCUGGGCCUUACCUGACGCUGAGGAGCGAAAGCGUGGGGAGCGAACAGGAUUAGAUACCCUGGUAGUCCACGCCGUAAACGUUGGGCGCUAGGUGUGGGAUCCUUCCACGGAUUCCGUGCCGCAGCUAACGCAUUAAGCGCCCCGCCUGGGGAGUACGG